rnacentral:rRNA from 1 species
GAUGAACGCUAGCUACAGGCUUAACACAUGCAAGUCGAGGGGAAACGACAUCGAAAGCUUGCUUUUGAUGGGCGUCGACCGGCGCACGGGUGAGUAACGCGUAUCCAACCUGCCCAUCACUUGGGAAUAACCUUGCGAAAGUAAGACUAAUACCCAAUGAUAUCCCACGAAGGCAUCGGAAUGGGAUUAAAGAUUUAUCGGUGAUGGAUGGGGAUGCGUCUGAUUAGCUUGUUGGCGGGGUAACGGCCCACCAAGGCAACGAUCAGUAGGGGUUCUGAGAGGAAGGUCCCCCACAUGGGAACUGGGACACGGUCCAAACUCAUACGGGAGGCAGCAGUGAGGAAUAUUGGUCAAUGGGAGAGAGCCUGAACCAGCCAAGUAGCGUGCAGGAAGACGGCCCUAUGGGUUGUAAACUGCUUUUAUAAGGGAAUAAAGUGGGUCACGUGUGACUUUUUGCAUGUACCUUAUGAAUAAGGACCGGCUAAUUCCGUG